UGCAGGCAGGCAGGUAGAGCAGAACCUUUGCUAUGUGGAAGAGGUCUUAUACACAGUGUAAAGCCAUCAAGGACUCUAAAUUUAUGAGCAAUUCAGGUCUUCACAUCAUUUAACACUAAGGCCCCACGUGAGCAUGCUUGGUUAUAUGACAUAAGAUCAUCCACAGACCCACAAAGGAGCUCAGAGAGACAAUGUGGGGAAACAGAGGAACCCAGGCUGGGAAGAAGAAAAUCGAUUCCAGAGUCCCAAACAAGGAAUUAAUUUGUCAUGACUUCAGUAAGCACUAUUAUGAAGUUUUGUUCACCAGAUCGAAGUUGUGGUGCCUUAGAACACUCUUAGAAAAGACAAAGGGGAAGUGGUGAGGAAUGUUUUCUCUGUGGUAUGCCGCAUCUGUCUCUUUUGCAUAUUUAUGUUUGCUUGUAUGCAUGGGUAAUGAUGGCAGAACAACUUCUUUGGAAUUUGUUCAGGUGUGUGGACAAGUUGUUGCUACGUUAAGCUUUCAACUGCUUGCUUGUUUUAACCUUUCAGAUGUGAAGCUUGUGCACAUAAUGUCAUGUUUUAAUUGAUAUGGCAAGUUAGUGGAAGUAUUUUGUUUAGUUGUUUGGUUUUUUUUAAUUUACCUUUUCAGUAGAAUAACAGUCUUUCUGAUCAACCAAUACAGUUUGAGGAGUGCAAAAAUUUUUUGAAAAAUUAAUCUCAGAUCAGUUAAAGAAAAUUAUAAAAAAAGUUGAUGGCUGAAUAAACAAAAGAAAAUCAGAAAUAAUUCUGAGUCAUGUGUUGUGUUCUUACUUAGUAACAGGUUCUCCCCACACAGACUUCAGUUGAAUUUCAUUGCCUUCAGUGGUGUCUGAUUAACAAAUUUUGGGAAGGGUACAGACAAGAGCAUAGGACUUGGGAAAACAAGGUAGAUAAAGUAAAUGAUGCAGACCUCUACCAUCUGUAAAGUUUUCCUACAGUCUGUCUACAUAGUAACACAAAUGCUUGUUUGUCCAAAGUCUGAUUGCUUCUUUACUACUUUCCUGAAAUGUGGCUUAUUUUGCUUCAUGAUAAUGUGCGACUGAGUUGUUAUUGUAAGAUUUUUAUGUUUCUG